GCAUGCUCAUCUACAGAAACGCCGCUUGGCCUUUGGACUACACCAUCUGUCGCUCGCUCUAACGAGCCGGCGUUGCCGCCAGGGGACGCUCGGGCCGCAGGAGGUCGCUGGGUCGUGAGCUGGCGCCGGGGACGCCGAGCGACUGCGGGGUUUCCCUCAGCGUCCUGCUAUCCGGCUGCCCGCCGCGCUCCUUGGUAGUGUCCGUGGGCGCGCAGGCCUUGAAGAACCUCCUCGUGGCGGGACCCCGAGCGCAGGAGAGGUGUCAAAGAGCUGGCGCGUCUCCAGAGCCCCGGGAGGAAGGCUGUAACGGCAGCCCCAUCGUAGACAGGGACAUUCGCAUCCCGAGCCCUGGAUCUCUGAAAACCAGCCCAGAAUUUGGAAGCUGGAAGGAACUUUAGAUCGUCCAUUCUGAGUGUCUCUCUUCGCUGGCGUUUUCCCACUGAGGUUAUGUAAACAUGAAGAGGAGCCUACAAGUGUCAAGGAAAAAACGACAGCUAACCACAGGGCAGGCCAUGGGCAAGAUAUCUCAGUGUUCUCCGCUCUCAUAGGUCAGAGUGAGACUCACCUAGGCUGGACUGCAAUGGUGCAAUCUCGGCUCACUGCAACCUCCGCCUCUCAUGUUCAAGCCAUUCUCCUGCCUCAGCUUUCCGAAUCGCUGGGAUUACAGGUCACGACCCCCAGGAGACCUGGAGGACUGAAUGCUGCUGCCCCCAAGGAGGAGGCUGCCGUCUUAUCCCAGGAGGGAGAGCAGGUGAAGUCCCCAGGGGAGGAAGCACCUAGCCCCAUUCCUGCUGAGCAGGAGGUGGCAGGUACCCCAGACUGGGAGGUAAGGACAGCCCGGGGCUUCGACUGAACGUCUCCAGCGUGGGUCCAACUGAGCAGCCAUGGAGCACUGCAGAGUGGGAGGCAGCAGGGCAGGGAGGCAGUGCUGGAGGCUGGCUCAACCCCAAGACCAGCAGGCCAAGCUGCCAUCCCAGGGGAGCGAGGACGUCUGUGCAGAGCUGAGAGGCAGCAGCCAUGUGUGAACAGACUGGGCCUCAUCCUGGCCCCACCGACUUUGUGUGGACAGAGCCUGUUUCCCUGUCUGUGCAACACAGAACCUGCCUGAUCUCACUGCUGGAUCCCUCUUCUUCCUGCCAGGAAAAUAAAAAGGUUCAAAAGGAAGUUGCUGCGUAUCCAUCUGAGGCCUCUGAGGACAGCAAAGAGCAAAGGCCCUGGGACCGGGUCUACGUGCCCAUGACAGAGCUCUGGCUGGACUGGUUCUGAGCCUCUAACACCCCCAAGACUCAGAACCGUGAAGAAAAUCUUUCCAAUAAAUCCAAGAGUUGCUGCUGCUAUAGGCCAGGCUGCCACCUUUCGGGGCCUCCGUCUUCAGACAAACCCAGCCUGGCUUCAUCCACACUCCCUGUCCCCACAGCUGCAGGAACAGCACUUCCUGCCACCGAGCCGUGUGACCACAGUGGAUUGUCUCUGGAGGGGCCCAAGGGGGCCCUGGCCACCCUUCUGACUGACUCGGUGCCAGGGGACAGACCAACGUCCCUCUCGUGCUGACAGCCGGGCCGCACCCUGGCAUGAGGGCAUUUACAGAAAUGCUGGCGGAACUGCUGCCAGGGAGGCUGUAGGGUCCUCUGGCAAAAGAGGCCUCAGGUGGCUCCUCA
rnacentral:lncRNA from 1 species